UACGUAGGUGGCAAGCGUUGUCCGGAUUUAUUGGGUUUAAAGGGUGCGUAGGCGGCCUGGUAAGUCUGGGGUGAAAGCCCGCGGCUCAACAGCGGAACUGCCCUGGAUACUGCCGGGCUUGAGCACAGGCGAGGUGGGUGGAAUGGACGGUGUAGCGGUGAAAUGCAUAGAUACCGUCCAGAACCCCGAUUGCGAAGGCAGCUGACUAGGCUGUAGCUGACGCUGAGGCACGAAAGCGUGGGGAGCGAACAGG
rnacentral:rRNA from 1 species